rnacentral:rRNA from 1 species
UGGGGAAUAUUGCACAAUGGGCGAAAGCCUGAUGCAGCAACGCCGCGUGAGUGAUGAAGGCCUUCGGGUUGUAAAGCUCUGUCUUCUGGGACGAUAAUGACGGUACCAGAGGAGGAAGCCACGGCUAACUACGUGCCAGCAGCCGCGGUAAUACGUAGGUGGCAAGCGUUGUCCGGAUUUACUGGGUGUAAAGGGUGCUCAGGCGGAUUUGUAAGUCAGAGGUGAAAUCUUACAGCUUAACUGUGAAACUGCCUUUGAUACUGCAAGCCUAGAGUAUGGAAGAGAGAGAUGGAAUAUCUGGUGUAGCAGUGAAAUGCGUAGAUAUCAGAUAGAACACCAAUGGCGAAGGCAGUCACUUGGUCCAUUACUGACGCUAAAGCACGAAAGCGUGGGUAGCAAACA